UUUAAAAAGAAAACUCAAAUCUUAAAUUUUGUUUCUGUUUUUUGCUAAACUCUUUUCAUAUGAACUACACUACAGAACAACGGUACAAAAUAAACAGUUAUCGUGAUUCACAUAGCCAAUAAUCAAUGCUAUGACACCAUUAGUGAAAUAGUUCUUUGCUAACUUGUGAACUACAGCCAUUUAAGACUGUUUAUAACUUAUAUUUUAAAUAAUGGAGCCAUUGUUAAAUUCCUUUUAAAACAUGUUAGCAAUGUAUCUUGGUGAUUUAUUGCAAGUUAUAUUGUAUUAGAUUCAAUCUGAAAUGUAAUUCAGGUCUAAUUCACAGUGAUUCCACAGACAAGGUAACUUAUCCUGCAAAAGUCAUUUCUGGUUUGAUUCAUUAAAGUGCUUUAAAAAUUGCAAGUUUAUUUUUGUGGUUCUGACAGAAAAUCUACAAUGGAGACAGUUUUAGGCAACAGAUGACCAGCUUUUUCCAAUGGGAAUCCCACAUCUAAAAUGGAUAUUGGACCUCGCAAAGGAAAGUAGGAAAGUAAAAUGAUAAAUUUUUAAAAAUGACUGAUAUAGAAUAAUUUAAACUGAUUAUUUUGACAUUCUUUAAUUUCGAGCUAAUCAAAGGGUGACAGAAUGGAAAGAGAUAUAGAAGGAGGAGGAAUUGGGUAACAGAACAUGAGGAGAAUGGGUAAUCAAAAAUGAACUUCGUAUCUUGAAACUGUCCUUUCACAUAAGGAAGUGUUAAUAAGCAAACCACGUUUGUAAACGACAUGAUGUAUGUGCCUUCAUUUUAAGCAGCGCCAACAUUGAAAGGGUUUUGCCAAGCAGCUCCACCAAUGAUUUUGGUGAGCUGACCUACAAUUCAGGAAUUCUAGCUCAGUUCGUGGUCAAUCUACGUCAAUUAUGGCAAUGACGAGCCCAAGAGCGAUUGGAUGCCGACGCCCGGCCCUGCCUUAUAUUUUACACUCCACAGAGCAUCUGUGCUCCUCCAAACUGAUCAGCAGCUUCAGAAGCACAGGCUGGAAUACACUUGAUCUGCUUCUUGACAACU